GGGUUGUGAGGUUAAGCGACUAAGCGUACACGGUGGAUGCCCUGGCAGUCAGAGGCGAUGAAGGACGUGCUAAUCUGCGAAAAGCGUCGGUAAGGUGAUAUGAACCGUUACAGCCGGCGAUGUCCGAAUGGGGAAACCCAGUGCAAUUCGUUGCACUAUCGUUUGAUGAAUACAUAGUCAAACGAGGCGAACCGGGGGAACUGAAACAUCUAAGUACCCCGAGGAAAAGAAAUCAACCGAGAUUCCCCCAGUAGCGGCGAGCGAACGGGGAGCAGCCCGGAGUCUGAAUCAGCUUGUGUGUUAGUGGAAGCGUCUGGAAAGUCGCAGGGUACAGGGUGAUACUCCCGUACACUAAAACGCACAGGCUGUGAACUCGAAGAGUAGGGCGGGACACGUGGUAUCCUGUCUGAAUAUGGGGGGACCAUCCUCCAAGGCUAAAUACUCCUGACUGACCGAUAGUGAACCAGUACCGUGAGGGAAAGGCGAAAAGAACCCGGCGAGGGGAGUGAAAAAGAACCUGAAACCGUGUACGUACAAGCAGUAGGAGCCCACUUGUUGGGUGACUGCGUACCUUUUGUAUAAUGGGUCAGCGACUUAUAUUCUGUAGCAAGGUUAACCGUAUAGGGGAGCCGCAGGGAAACCGAGUCUUAACUGGGCGUUAAGUUGCAGGGUAUAGACCCGAAACCCGGUGAUCUAGCCAUGGGCAGGUUGAAGGUUGGGUAACACUAACUGGAGGACCGAACCGACUAAUGUUGAAAAAUUAGCGGAUGACUUGUGGCUGGGGGUGAAAGGCCAAUCAAACCGGGAGAUAGCUGGUUCUCCCCGAAAGCUAUUUAGGUAGCGCCUCGUGAAUUCAUCUUCGGGGGUAGAGCACUGUUUCGGCUAGGGGGUCAUCCCGACUUACCAACCCGAUGCAAACUACGAAUACCGAAGAAUGUUAUCACGGGAGACACACGGCGGGUGCUAACGUCCGUCGUGAAGAGGGAAACAACCCAGACCGCCAGCUAAGGUCCCAAAGUCAUGGUUAAGUGGGAAACGAUGUGGGAAGGCCCAGACAGCCAGGAUGUUGGCUUAGAAGCAGCCAUCAUUUAAAGAAAGCGUAAUAGCUCACUGGUCGAGUCGGCCUGCGCGGAAGAUGUAACGGGGCUAAACCAUGCACCGAAGCUGCGGCAGCGACACUAUGUGUUGUUGGGUAGGGGAGCGUUCUGUAAGCCGUUGAAGGUGGCCUGUGAGGGUUGCUGGAGGUAUCAGAAGUGCGAAUGCUGACAUAAGUAACGAUAAUGCGGGUGAAAAACCCGCACGCCGGAAGACCAAGGGUUCCUGUCCAACGUUAAUCGGGGCAGGGUGAGUCGACCCCUAAGGCGAGGCCGAAAGGCGUAGUCGAUGGGAAACAGGUUAAUAUUCCUGUACUUGGUGUUACUGCGAAGGGGGACGGAGAAGGCUAUGUUGGCCGGGCGACGGUUGUCCCGGUUUAAGCGUGUAGGUGUGUGUUCCAGGUAAAUCCGGUUCACUUUAACACUGAGGCGUGAUGACGAGGCACUACGGUGCUGAAGUGACAAAUGCCCUGCUUCCAGGAAAAGCCUCUAAGCAUCAGGUAACAUCAAAUCGUACCCCAAACCGACACAGGUGGUCAGGUAGAGAAUACCAAGGCGCUUGAGAGAACUCGGGUGAAGGAACUAGGCAAAAUGGUGCCGUAACUUCGGGAGAAGGCACGCUGAUAUGUAGGUGAAGUGAUUUACUCAUGGAGCUGAAAUCAGUCGAAGAUACCAGCUGGCUGCAACUGUUUAUUAAAAACACAGCACUGUGCAAACACGAAAGUGGACGUAUACGGUGUGACGCCUGCCCGGUGCCGGAAGGUUAAUUGAUGGGGUUAUCCGUAAGGAGAAGCUCUUGAUCGAAGCCCCGGUAAACGGCGGCCGUAACUAUAACGGUCCUAAGGUAGCGAAAUUCCUUGUCGGGUAAGUUCCGACCUGCACGAAUGGCGUAAUGAUGGCCAGGCUGUCUCCACCCGAGACUCAGUGAAAUUGAACUCGCUGUGAAGAUGCAGUGUACCCGCGGCAAGACGGAAAGACCCCGUGAACCUUUACUAUAGCUUGACACUGAACACUGGUCCUUGAUGUGUAGGAUAGGUGGGAGGCUUUGAAGUGUGGACGCCAGUCUGCAUGGAGCCAUCCUUGAAAUACCACCCUUUAAUGGCUGGUGUUCUAACGUGGGCCCCUAAUCGGGGUUGCGGACAGUGUCUGGUGGGUAGUUUGACUGGGGCGGUCUCCUCCUAAAGAGUAACGGAGGAGCACGAAGGUCAGCUAAUCCUGGUCGGACAUCAGGAGGUUAGUGCAAUGGCAUAAGCUGGCUUGACUGCGAGCGUGACGGCGCGAGCAGGUGCGAAAGCAGGUCAUAGUGAUCCGGUGGUUCUGAAUGGAAGGGCCAUCGCUCAACGGAUAAAAGGUACUCCGGGGAUAACAGGCUGAUACCGCCCAAGAGUUCAUAUCGACGGCGGUGUUUGGCACCUCGAUGUCGGCUCAUCACAUCCUGGGGCUGAAGUAGGUCCCAAGGGUAUGGCUGUUCGCCAUUUAAAGUGGUACGCGAGCUGGGUUUAGAACGUCGUGAGACAGUUCGGUCCCUAUCUGCCGUGGGCGCUGGAGAAUUGAGGGGGGCUGCUCCUAGUACGAGAGGACCGGAGUGGACGCAUCACUGGUGUUCGGGUUGUCAUGCCAAUGGCAUUGCCCGGUAGCUAAAUGCGGAAGAGAUAAGUGCUGAAAGCAUCUAAGUACGAAACUUGCCCCGAGAUGAGUUCUCCCUGACUCCUUGAGAGUCCUGAAGGAACGUUGAAGACGACGACGUUGAUAGGCCGGGUGUGUAAGCGCAGCGAUGCGUUGAGCUAACCGGUACUAAUGAACCGUGAGGCUUAACCUUACAACGCCGAAG
rnacentral:rRNA from 1 species